AAAAAUGCUCAUAUUGUGAGCUCGAUGAGUAGGGCGGGACACGUGGUAUCCUGUCUGAAUAUGGGGGGACCAUCCUCCAAGGCUAAAUACUCCUGACUGACCGAUAGUGAACCAGUACCGUGAGGGAAAGGCGAAAAGAACCCCGGCGAGGGGAGUGAAAAAGAACCUGAAACCGUGUACGUACAAGCAGUGGGAGCACGCUUAGGCGUGUGACUGCGUACCUUUUGUAUAAUGGGUCAGCGACUUAUAUUCUGUAGCAAGGUUAACCGAAUAGGGGAGCCGAAGGGAAACCGAGUCUUAACUGGGCGUUAAGUUGCAGGGUAUAGACCCGAAACCCGGUGAUCUAGCCAUGGGCAGGUUGAAGGUUGGGUAACACUAACUGGAGGACCGAACCGACUAAUGUUGAAAAAUUAGCGGAUGACUUGUGGCUGGGGGUGAAAGGCCAAUCAAACCGGGAGAUAGCUGGUUCUCCCCGAAAGCUAUUUAGGUAGCGCCUCGUGAACUCAUCUCCGGGGGUAGAGCACUGUUUCGGCAAGGGGGUCAUCCCGACUUACCAACCCGAUGCAAACUGCGAAUACCGGAGAAUGUUAUCACGGGAGACACACGGCGGGUGCUAACGUCCGUCGUGAAGAGGGAAACAACCCAGACCGCCAGCUAAGGUCCCAAAGUCAUGGUUAAGUGGGAAACGAUGUGGGAAGGCCCAGACAGCCAGGAUGUUGGCUUAGAAGCAGCCAUCAUUUAAAGAAAGCGUAAUAGCUCACUGGUCGAGUCGGCCUGCGCGGAAGAUGUAACGGGGCUAAACCAUGCACCGAAGCUGCGGCAGCGACACUAUGUGUUGUUGGGUAGGGGAGCGUUCUGUAAGCCUGUGAAGGUGUGCUGUGAGGCAUGCUGGAGGUAUCAGAAGUGCGAAUGCUGACAUAAGUAACGAUAAAGCGGGUGAAAAGCCCGCUCGCCGGAAGACCAAGGGUUCCUGUCCAACGUUAAUCGGGGCAGGGUGAGUCGACCCCUAAGGCGAGGCCGAAAGGCGUAGUCGAUGGGAAACAGGUUAAUAUUCCUGUACUUGGUGUUACUGCGAAGGGGGGACGGAGAAGGCUAUGUUGGCCGGGCGACGGUUGUCCCGGUUUAAGCGUGUAGGCUGGUUUUCCAGGCAAAUCCGGAAAAUCAAGGCUGAGGCGUGAUGACGAGGCACUACGGUGCUGAAGCAACAAAUGCCCUGCUUCCAGGAAAAGCCUCUAAGCAUCAGGUAAUAUCAAAUCGUACCCCAAACCGACACAGGUGGUCAGGUAGAGAAUACCAAGGCGCUUGAGAGAACUCGGGUGAAGGAACUAGGCAAAAUGGUGCCGUAACUUCGGGAGAAGGCACGCUGAUAUGUAGGUGAAGUCCCUUGCGGAUGGAGCUGAAAUCAGUCGAAGAUACCAGCUGGCUGCAACUGUUUAUUAAAAACACAGCACUGUGCAAACACGAAAGUGGACGUAUACGGUGUGACGCCUGCCCGGUGCCGGAAGGUUAAUUGAUGGGGUCAGCGCAAGCGAAGCUCUUGAUCGAAGCCCCGGUAAACGGCGGCCGUAACUAUAACGGUCCUAAGGUAGCGAAAUUCCUUGUCGGGUAAGUUCCGACCUGCACGAAUGGCGUAAUGAUGGCCAGGCUGUCUCCACCCGAGACUCAGUGAAAUUGAACUCGCUGUGAAGAUGCAGUGUACCCGCGGCAAGACGGAAAGACCCCGUGAACCUUUACUAUAGCUUGACACUGAACAUUGAGCCUUGAUGUGUAGGAUAGGUGGGAGGCUUGGAAGUGUGGACGCCAGUCUGCAUGGAGCCGACCUUGAAAUACCACCCUUUAAUGUUUGAUGUUCUAACGUUGACCCGUAAUCCGGGUUGCGGACAGUGUCUGGUGGGUAGUUUGACUGGGGCGGUCUCCUCCUAAAGAGUAACGGAGGAGCACGAAGGUUGGCUAAUCCUGGUCGGACAUCAGGAGGUUAGUGCAAUGGCAUAAGCCAGCUUGACUGCGAGCGUGACGGCGCGAGCAGGUGCGAAAGCAGGUCAUAGUGAUCCGGUGGUUCUGAAUGGAAGGGCCAUCGCUCAACGGAUAAAAGGUACUCCGGGGAUAACAGGCUGAUACCGCCCAAGAGUUCAUAUCGACGGCGGUGUUUGGCACCUCGAUGUCGGCUCAUCACAUCCUGGGGCUGAAGUAGGUCCCAAGGGUAUGGCUGUUCGCCAUUUAAAGUGGUACGCGAGCUGGGUUUAGAACGUCGUGAGACAGUUCGGUCCCUAUCUGCCGUGGGCGCUGGAGAACUGAGGGGGGCUGCUCCUAGUACGAGAGGACCGGAGUGGACGCAUCACUGGUGUUCGGGUUGUCAUGCCAAUGGCACUGCCCGGUAGCUAAAUGCGGAAGAGAUAAGUGCUGAAAGCAUCUAAGCACGAAACUUGCCCCGAGAUGAGUUCUCCCUGACCCCUUGAGGGUCCUGAAGGAACGUUGAAGACGACGACGUUGAUAGGCCGGGUGUGUAAGCGCAGCGAUGCGUUGAGCUAACCGGUACUAAUGAACCGUGAGGCUUAACCUU
rnacentral:rRNA from 1 species